rnacentral:lncRNA from 1 species
CCGAAAGGAAAUAGGCAGCUGGUUUGCUGUGGUGAUUUUAAACAUUAAUUUGUAUUAAAAAGGUAAAAGAGUUGUAUAGUAAAUUAAAUUGUAAAACAAAACCUUUUUUAAUGUAAUGCUUUAGUAUUUUAGUACUGUAAAAAAUUAAAUAUAUACAUAUGUGUGUAUAUAUAUAUACUAUAUAUAUAUAUAAUAUAUGAGAUUGAAGCAAAAUCCACAUCAUGAUGGUGCUACCCAUAGAUCUUAAUGUGAGCUAAGAAUCCAUUCAGAGUUGGAGUGGUGUUCCUACUUGUCGUAAUACCUCAACAUUAGCUUGGCAAUGGGAUACUGAGCUAAGAGUGGAAGCUUAGAGCAUUGUAUACCACCAUUUUUUUUUAAAAAAAUCUUUGUAUUAUUAAAACAUACCAUUUUUAAAUACUUGAUUUCUUAGCAAGUAUAACUUGAAUCUCAAACUUUUUUGUUCUAAAAAUUCAGGGAUAUUUCAGCUCAUUCUCCUUAUGCCAACAUGUCAUCUUGUUUAUGUAAAGUUGGUUAAUAUAUUCUCUUUCAGGGAUUUGACUCUUUUUUUAUUAUUAUUAUUAUUUUGAAUCCCUCCUACUUUGCUUGUACAUGUAAUGAUAACUAAAAACUUAUUUUAUAAAUUUGUCAACUUUCAAUUGUAAAUUUCGGAAAGUUUGAGUUCAGCAAAGUGAAAAGUCUAAAAUAGGAAGCACUGAGCUGGUAAAGGGAAAACUGAGAGGAUAAAAAUCACCCCCCAUGGCCCUCAGCCAAGUCGCCAGUAAUGGCUUCUGAUGUAGUGAUGAGGACAGCUUUGGACUGCAGCUCUCCAGUCCCGGGAGCUGGUGGUGUGCAGUGCAAUAGGACUCUUGUUACAUUGUGGCCUAAAUACAGUGUUGCUUAUUAGCUUUUUCAAAUAGCUUUGUGUCAGUGGAGACCUUUGUAACUUUUUGGUCACAUUUUGUCACUGAAAACUUUGAGAAUGUCUGCCUUGCACACAAAACCACAAGGUUAAUGGUUUCCACACCACGAUGUUUGGUCCACAUCAGGUUCCUGCAGGUGUGUGUGGCAGUUUUGAGAGCCAGGCAUCCCUUAGGAACAUUUGCUUUACAUGUCACCCAACCGUCAUUUGUCAAACUGCUGGCCAACAGGAGCAGUAAGUGUGGUUUGAGAGGAUGGAUCAUGUAGGAAGAAAGGCAAUGACAUCCCCCCAUCUGCAUUAGAUCUCGUGGCAAGCAGAUCUGUGAUUUGCUUCUGUAGGAACAGCUCGAUGGCAUAGCCACACUUGAAAUUGCUUCUGCUUGGUGUCAACAUUACUUGAAUGACUUUUUCAUCCUGAUUGACGCACAGUGAUGUAUAGUUCACUUUAUAAGGUAGUGUGGUUAACUCGUUAGGAAGUUUUUUGCAGUUUGACACUAAGAUAACUGAAUCUCCGUGUGCAUUUUUCUACGCUUUAUUUUUUUAAUGUAGUUUCAUGAGAUGUUGGCUUUGUUUAUACAAUCUGAGGGUGGUUAUAAAUACUGUAAGUAUUGUAAUGUUAUGAAUGCAGUUUAUUUUAAAGCUGUUUAUUAUAUCAUUCCUGAUAACGCCAUGUGAGUGUUUUUAAUAAAAUUUAUAUUUAUUUAAUGCACUC